rnacentral:rRNA from 1 species
GACGAACGCUGGCGGCGUGCUUAACACAUGCAAGUCGAACGGAAAGGCCCUGCUUUUGUGGGGUGCUCGAGUGGCGAACGGGUGAGUAACACGUGAGUAACCUGCACUUGACUUUGGGAUAACUUCAGGAAACUGGGGCUAAUACCGCAUAGGAGCUCCUGCUGCAUGGUGGGGGUUGGAAAGUUUCGGCGGUUGGGGAUGGACUCGCGGCUUAUCAGCUUGUUGGUGGGGUAGUGGCUUACCAAGGCUUUGACGGGUAGCCGGCCUGAGAGGGUGACCGGCCACAUUAGGACUGAGAUACGGCCCAGACUACAACGGGAGGCAGCGGUGGAGAAUAUUGCACAAUGGGCGGAAGCCUGAUGUAGCAACGCCGCGUGCGGGAAGACGGGCUUCGGGUUGUAAACCGCUUUCGCCUGUGACGAGGCGAGAGUGACGGUAAUGGGUAAAGAAGCACCGGCUAACUACGUG